rnacentral:tRNA from 1 species
GGCGCUAUAGCCAAGUGGUUACGGCGACAGAUUCGAAUAAUUGUUAUCUGUUCCUCUUUGAGGGCGCAGGUUCAAAUCCUGCUGGCGUCG